UAAAACCCCAUAACUUGAGUAUUAGGGCUCCAAAUUGGUUGAUUCAAAAGGCAAAAUUGUGAGGUUUUUCGUGGAGAACGCAUUGGAGAGAUUGAAAACUGAUUUGGAGCAUUCGAUUCAGGGUCUAAAUUCAAGAGAAUUUCGUGAGGAAUCUCGUAGUAAUCUCAUAAACGCGAGAAGAAGCUUUGUUCGAGCUUGGCAGCGUUUCGAGGCUGUUUGAAAGGGAAAAUCUCCAGCACAGUGAUUUGGAGCCCGCGUGUUUGGCCUACAGGACCAAGCACCAGCUAUCGCCGUGGAUAAAUUGAGCCUGUUGCAGUCAACUUCGGAGACUAGGGUGAGUACUUGGCGUUUUUAGAUCAUUCCUGUCUCCUUCAGCAUGGAUGGCCCGUCUUUUACCUUCUGAGACUAGCCAGUUGUUUUAUAUCUUUUCGGUCCACUUUCGGGACUUGUACUCGUAUUUUAUUUUGUAGCAGCUCUGUACUUGUGACUUCCAGGUUCUAGGAGGGAUCUUUAGUUGUUUAAAACAUGUUUUGGUUUACUUCUACUUA